rnacentral:rRNA from 1 species
GUAGGGAAUCUUGCGCAAUGGGCGAAAGCCUGACGCAGCCAUGCCGCGUGAAUGAUGAAGGUCUUAGGAUUGUAAAAUUCUUUCACCGGGGACGAUAAUGACGGUACCCGGAGAAGAAGCCCCGGCUAACUUCGUGCCAGCAGCCGCGGUAAUACGAAGGGGGCUAGCGUUGCUCGGAAUUACUGGGCGUAAAGGGAGCGUAGGCGGAUAGUUUAGUCAGAGGUGAAAGCCCAGGGCUCAACCUUGGAAUUGCCUUUGAUACUGGCUAUCUUGAGUAUGGAAGAGGUAUGUGGAACUCCGAGUGUAGAGGUGAAAUUCGUAGAUAUUCGGAAGAACACCAGUGGCGAAGGCGACUCACUGGCCCAAUACUGACGCUGAGGCGCGAAAGCGUGGGGAGCAAACAGGAUUAGAUACCCCUGUAGUCC